CGCGCAGGUGGUUCUGUAUGUCUAUCGUGAAAGCGUACGGCUCAACCGUAUUUUGUCGGUAGAAACUGCAGGACUUGAGGCUGGGAGGGGCUGGUGGAAUUCCCUGUGUAGCGGUGAAAUGCGUAGAGAUGGGGGAGAACACUCGUGGCGAAGGCGGCCAGCUAGACCAGUUCUGACACUGAGGCGCGACAGCGUGGGGAGCAAACA
rnacentral:rRNA from 1 species